rnacentral:misc_RNA from 1 species
UGUGGGAGCGAGCUUGCUCGCGAUGGCGUCAUGUCAGUCAACAACGAGGUUGGCUGCACAAUCGCUAUCGCGAGCAAGCUCGCUCCCACA